UACGAAGGGGGCUAGCGUUACUCGGAAUGACUGGGCGUAAAGGGCGCGUAGGCGGUUGAUCUAGUUAGGCGUGAAAUUCCUGGGCUCAACCUGGGGACUGCGCUUAAUACAGGUCGACUAGAGUGUGAAAGAGGGUCGUGGAAUUCCCAGUGUAGAGGUGAAAUUCGUAGAUAUUGGGAAGAACACCGGUGGCGAAGGCGGCGACCUGGUUCAUGACUGACGCUGAGGCGCGAAAGCGUGGGGAGCAAACAGG
rnacentral:rRNA from 1 species